rnacentral:SRP_RNA from 1 species
GCCAGGUAUGGUGGCGCAUGCCUGUAGUCCCAGCUACUCAGGAGGCUGAGGUGGGAGGAUUGUUCGAGCCUAGAGGUCGAGGCUGCAGUGAGGCGUGAUCUUGCCACUGCACUCUAGCCUGGGUGACAGAGCAAGACCCUGUCUCAA